GACGAAGGGGGCUAGCGUUGUUCGGAAUUACUGGGCGUAAAGCGCGUGUAGGCGGUUGUCAAAGUCGGGUGUGAAAGCCUUGAGCUUAAACUCAAGAAAUGCACUCGAUAACUUGGUGACUAGAGGACCGGAGAGGAUAGUGGAAUUCCAGUGUAGUGGUGAAAUACGUAGAGAUUGGGAAGAACACCAGUGGCGAAGGCGGACUAUCUGGACGGUUUCUGACGCUAAGACGCGAAAGCGUGGGGAGCAAACAGGG
rnacentral:rRNA from 1 species